UACGUAGGGUCCGAGCGUUGUCCGGAAUUACUGGGCGUAAAGAGCUCGUAGGUGGUUUGUCGCGUUGUUCGUGAAAACUCACAGCUCAACUGUGGGCGUGCGGGCGAUACGGGGCAGACUAGAGUACUGCAGGGGAGACUGGAAUCCUGGUGUAGCGGUGGAAUGCGCAGAUAUCAGGAGGAACACCGGUGGCGAAGGCGGGUCUCUGGGCCGAUACUGACGCUGAGGAGCGAAAGCGUGGGGAGCGAACAGG
rnacentral:rRNA from 1 species